rnacentral:rRNA from 1 species
UACGGGGGGAGCAAGCGUUGUUCGGAUUUACUGGGCGUAAAGGGCGCGUAGGCGGCCACCGCAAGUCGACUGUGAAAUCUCCGGGCUUAACUCGGAAAGGUCAGCCGAUACUGCGGGGCUAGAGUGCAGAAGGGGCAACUGGAAUUCUCGGUGUAGCGGUGAAAUGCGUAGAUAUCGAGAGGAACACCUGCGGCGAAGGCGGGUUGCUGGGCUGACACUGACGCUGAUUGUGCGAAAGCUAGGGGAGCGAA